GGAACUUAGCUCAGUGGUAGAGCAUCUGUUUUGCAUGCAAAAGGUCCUGAGUUCAGUGCCCAGCAUCGCCA